CGCCCCCUGCUCUUAAUAUAUAGGGGGUACUGCCUGCCCAGUGAAUUCUUCAACGGCCGCGGUAUCCUGACCGUGCAAAGGUAGCGCAAUCACUAGUUCUCUAAAUAAGGACCCGUAUGAAUGGCAACACGAAGGUCUAACUGUCUCCCCCUUACCUAGUAAAACUUCUCUCGCGGUUAGAAAGCCGCUAUAAAAGCGCUAGACGAGAAGACCCUAUCGAGCUUGAGGGGAAGGGAGAAAAGGGUUGAAGCUAGACACUGCCUAGCAUUCCUUCUCACUUCCUACCCUUUGGUUGGGGCAACCGCGGAGCCUACCCACCCUCCGCACACUCAGCAUAAGACACCACGUCUCCAACGGAAAAACUGAUCCGGCACGCCGAACAAUGAAAAAAGUUACCGUAGGGAUAACAGCGUAAUCCCUCCUGAGAGUCCACAUUGACGGAGGGGCUUGCGACCUCGAUGUUGGAUCGGGGAACCCCGGUGGUGCAGCCGCUACCAAAGGUUGGUCUGUUCGACCAUUAAAACCCCACGUGAUCUGAG
rnacentral:rRNA from 1 species